rnacentral:rRNA from 1 species
UAGCCAUGCGAGUCGAGAGGUGCAAGACCUCGGCAUACUGCUCAGUAACACGUGGACAACCUAACCUAAGGAGGGGGAUAACCCCGGGAAACUGGGGAUAAUACCCCAUAGACUAUGGGUGCUGGAAUGCUCUGUAGUUGAAAGGUCCGCCGCCAUAGGAUGGGUCUGCGGCCGAUUAGGUUGUUGUUGGGGUAACGGCCCAACAAGCCUGUAAUCGGUACGGGUUGUGGGAGCAAGAGCCCGGAGAUGGAUUCUGAGACACGAAUCCAGGCCCUACGGGGCGCAGCAGGCGCGAAAACUUUACAAUGCGGGAAACCGUGAUAAGGGAACUCCGAGUGCCCGUAAAAUCGGGCUGUCCAUCAGUGCAAAUAACUGGUGAAGAAAGGGCCGGGCAAGACCGGUGCCAGCCGCCGCGGUAAUACCGGCGGCUCGAGUGGUGGCCACUAUUACUGGGCUU